AUGAUUAGACCUAUCUUUUUGCGUAUGCGAUUAACUGAUAUACUCAAAACCAAUCCUUAUGCUAAGUACAUGAAAGAUAGUAUUACAAAUAAAAGAAAGAUUCCGGAAGCUGAAAUUUCCACCAUGCUUGCUAAUUAUACUUUUAAGGGUGGAAUACCAAAGAAACUUGGAGAUCCAGGAGUACCUACUAUACCAUGCUCCAUUAAAACAAAUUAUGUUAAAACUGCUUUAUUGGAUCUUGGAGCCGGUGUUAGUGUUAUGCCUCUCUCUUUAUAUCGUAGACUUGAAUUGAAUAAGUUAACACCUACUGAAAUAUCUUUGCAAAUGGCUGAUAAAUCAACUGCUAUACCUGUCGGUAUUUGUGAGGAUUUGCCUGUUGUGGUUGCAAACGUUACUAUUUUAACGGACUUUGUUAUUCUUGAUAUUUCCGAGGACGAUAGUAUGUCUAUUAUUCUUGGAAGACCCUUUCUUAAUACUGCAGGGGCUGUUUUUGAUUGCAACAAAGCAAUGUCACUUUUCAUGUUAAUGGUAAUGAGCAUACGGUACACUUUCCGAGGAAACAACCUCAAGUUCAUAGCAUCAAUUCUAUCGGAAAAAUUCCAUCGGCUAUAUUUGGAGGUUUUGAAUUUGCUCUUCCUACUGUCAAGAAGAAAUAUGAUAUACUUAUUAUUGGGGAUGUGCAUAUCCCCGUUGAGGUAA
rnacentral:rRNA from 1 species